AGUGAACGCUGGCGGCAGGCCUAACACAUGCAAGUCGAGCGGCAGCGGGUCCCCGCGAGGGGAUGCCGGCGAGCGGCGGACGGGUGAGGAACACAUCGGAAUCUGCCUGGUUGUGGGGGAUGACGUAGGGAAACUUACGCUAAUACCGCAUGAGACCCUGAGUCGACGGACUGGGGGUGAAAGUGAGGGACCUUCGGGCCUCACGCGACCAGAUGAGCCGAUGUCGGAUAGCUAGUUGGCGGGGUAACGGCCCGCCAAGGCGACGAUCCGUAGCUGGUCUGAGAGGAUGAUCAGCCACACUGGGACUGAGACACGGCCCAGACUCCUACGGGAGGCAGCAGUGGGGAAUCUUGGACAAUGGGCGCAAGCCUGAUCCAGCCAUG
rnacentral:rRNA from 1 species